GGCAGGCGCAUGCUUUAACAUGCAGUCGAACGGCAGCGGGCCCUUCGGGGUGCCGGCGAGUGGCGAACGGGUGAGUAAUGCAUCGGAACGUACCCAGGAGUGGGGGAUAACCAGUCGAAAGAUUGGCUAAUACCGCAUACGUCCUGAGGGGGAAAGCGGGGGACCGUAAGGCCUCGCGCUCUUGGAGCGGCCGAUGUCCGAUUAGCUAGUUGGUGGGGUAAAGGCCUACCAAGGCGACGAUCGGUAGCUGGUCUGAGAGGAUGAUCAGCCACACUGGAACUGAGACACGGUCCAGACUCCUACGGGAGGCAGCAGUGGGGAAUUUUGGACAAUGGGGGAAACCCUGAUCCAGCCAUGCCGCGUGAGUGAAGAAGGCCUUCGGGUUGUAAAGCUCUUUCGGACGGGAAGAAAUCGCCCUGGCUAAUAUCUGGGGUGGAUGACGGUACCGUAAGAAGAAGCACCGGCUAACUACGUGCCAGCAGCCGCGGUAAUACGUAGGGUGCGAGCGUUAAUCGGAAUUACUGGGCGUAAAGCGUGCGCAGGCGGCUCAUUAAGACAGG
rnacentral:rRNA from 1 species